CCACCACCUCCUGCUCACCAGCCAGUAACAUCGGCCACAUUUUUCUUUGCCUUGCCACUCAACAAGAGCAGUGUAAAAAAAAUGUAUUGCAAGAAUCUUCAGUCAACCUCAUUCCUUUGCUAGAAGCAGAGAAAAGCUUGUCCUAACCUAGCCUACUUUGUGACACUGUGGUCUAACUUGUCGUAAGUUUGAGUUUUUGUUACCCUUUUCAGACAGGAUUGUAAGUUAUAUUAUUUGUAGGGCUUCCCUCGACUAAAGAUUUUUCUGGUCGACUAGUAGUUGUUAAUUUUAAGCAUUAG